UCACCUCCUGUCUGUCAUCAAUCCUCCCUCUUCCUCUCCUCCUCCUCCUCCUCCUCCUGGAGGAGAUCUGACUCCUCCCUCUGCUCCUCCUCCUCCUCCUGAAGGAGGUCUGACUCCUCCCUCUGCUCCUCCUCCUCCUCCUCCUCCUCCUGAAGGAGGUCUGACUCCUCCCUCUCCUCCUCCUCCUCCUAGUGAAGGAGGUCUGACUCCUCCCUCUGCUCCUCCUCCUCCUCCUAGUGAAGGAGGUCUGACUCCUCCCUCUGCUCCUCCUCCUCCUAGUGAAGGAGGUCUGACUCCUCCCUCUGCUCCUCCUCUUCCUCCUGAAGGAGGACUGACUCCUCCCUCUCCUCCUCCUCCUCCUAGUGAAGGAGGUCUGAUUCCUCCCUCUACUGAAGGAGGACUGACUCCUCCCUCUCCUCCUCCUCCUCCUAGUGAAGGAGGUCUGACUCCUCCCUCUGCUCCUCCUCCUCCUCCUAGUGAAGGAGGUCUGACUCCUCCCUCUCCUCCUCCUCCUUCUAGUGAAGGAGGUCUGACUCCUCCCUCUCCUCCUCCUCCUCCCAGUGAAGGAGGUCUUACUCCUCCCUCUGCUCCUCCUCCUCCUCCUGAAGGAGGUCUGACACCUCCCUCUGCUCCUCCUCCUCCUAGUGAAGGAGGUCUGACUCCUCCCUCUGCUCCUCCUCCUCCUAGUGAAGGAGGUCUGACUCCUCCCUCUGAUCCUCCUCCUAGUGAAGGAGGUCUGACUCCUC
ensembl:lncRNA